CCUACGGGCGGCUGCAGUGGGGAAUAUUGGGCAAUGGGCGCAAGCCUGACCCAGCAACGCCGCGUGAAGGAAGAAGGCUUUCGGGUUGUAAACUUCUUUUCAGAGGGACGAGCAGAAGACGGUACCUCUUGAAUAAACCACGGCUAACUACGUGCCAGCAGCCGCGGUAAUACGUAGGUGGCAAGCGUUGUCCGGAUUUACUGGGUGUAAAGGGCGUGCAGCCGGGAAGACAAGUCAGAUGUGAAAUCCCGCGGCUCAACCGCGGAACUGCAUUUGAAACUGUGUUUCUUGAGUACCGGAGAGGUAGGCGGAAUUCCGAGUGUAGCGGUGAAAUGCGUAGAUAUUAGGAGGAACACCAGUGGCGAAGGCGGCCUACUGGACGGUGACUGACGCUGAGGCUCGAAAGCGUGGGGAGCAAACAGGAUUAGAUACCCUUGUAGUC
rnacentral:rRNA from 1 species